rnacentral:rRNA from 1 species
AGUGAACGCUGGCGGUAGGCCUAACACAUGCAAGUCGAACGGCAGCACAGUAAGAGCUUGCUCUUACGGGUGGCGAGUGGCGGACGGGUGAGGAAUACAUCGGAAUCUACUUUUUCGUGGGGGAUAACGUAGGGAAACUUACGCUAAUACCGCAUACGACCUACGGGUGAAAGCAGGGGAUCUUCGGACCUUGCGCGAUUGAAUGAGCCGAUGUCGGAUUAGCUAGUUGGCGGGGUAAAGGCCCUCCAAGGCGACGAUCCGUAGCUGGUCUGAGAGGAUGAUCAGCCACACUGGAACUGAGACACGGUCCAGACUCCUACGGGAGGCAGCAGUGGGGAAUAUUGGACAACGGGCGCAAGCCUGAUCCAGCCAUACCGCGUGGGUGAAGAAGGCCUUCGGAUUGUAAAGCCCUUUUGUUGGGAAAGAAAAGCAGCAGGUUAAUACCCCGCUGUUCUGACGGUACCCAAAGAAUAAGCACCGGCUAACUUCGUG